rnacentral:lncRNA from 1 species
AAUACAUUAGCUCUUACCAGCUAAUUAACUGGUUGGCUGCUAGUUAAGAAGGAGAUGGGAGAGUGGGGAGGGAGGCUAGGUUAGGAGGAUAUGAACAGACAUAAGAAAGAGGGAUGGCAGAGCUAGAUUUUGCUUAUUUUGCAAUCUUGCCUGGCUUAGUGCAACAGCUCACUUGAGAUAAGCAAUGAGUAAGUUUAUAGAUGCGUCAUUAUUGGCUCUAAAUAAUGAAGCAUACAGUCAUUCUCUAACAAGGAUUCGAAAGGAAUAUACAGGCAACUAUUAAUGACACAAAUAACUUCUCAUAUGCAGAUGGGGGAUUCUUAAAUUUUUUAGGGUCUAGCAUGGUGCAAUGCUAUUCAGGAUGCAAAAGUAGCAGAGGACCUCUGAGGAGGUUACAUGCGGCUUGGGAGAUGAGUGAUAAAUACAUGAAACAGCUGGGGAAAAAUACUAGACUGGAUAAAAUCAAGUGUGAGAGGAUUUGGUUCAGAUUUCAAGCACUACAGGAAUUCAGAAGCAAGGAAGAUCACACAAGGAGAGAAAUCAAAGAACAGUCACUGUGAAAGGGAUUGCAAGAAGCCGCUCUUCCUGUCUCAGGUGUCAGCAGUCAACUCUGUGGCUAUCAUCACCCUGGGAAAGACUGAAAUCAAGAUUCUGUGAUAUUCCACACCUGUCCCAGACAAUUCCAGCACAUCCCACCCUGAGAACAGCCAGAGGAGGAGAUCAGCCACGGAUUCUUGUCUGUGGGAGUGUCCCAAACCUGACUUAACAUCACAGCGAGGCAGGAGAUGAGGGGCUGAAUGAUAAUCUGUGUGGACCUGCCAUUUCCACAAGAAGAGGCUGUCCGUUUAUGGAGCAAGUGAGCGAAUAAUGAACUCUCUGGAGAGAGGUUGGGUGUUGACACCUCGGUGUGAAUUCUUCCCUCAUCUCUCAUCUGAGCGUCCCCUGUGUGAUGGCCAGUUCUCCUCAUGGGCAGCUGCCCACACGCUCCCUCUGAAGUGAAGUCUGAUGGUUGACAAGCCCUACACAUGCAGAUGGAGCUUUUAUUGCCUCUCUCUUAAAUAUGAAACAAAGAUUUAGUUAACAAAUAUUUAUUAAAUGCCCACUAGAUGCCAGAGAGAGGUCUUGGCACGUAAUAGUCAACAAAAGAGACCCCAAUCCCUGCCUGCCUUGGAGCUUACAUUCUAGUGAUGGAAGACGGAAAAAAUUUAAGGAAAGGUGGGUGCUCCAUGUGCUCUUUUUACCUACAGCAGAUUUGGGGUUGAAACAAUUCUUCGAAAAGAUAGAUGUCUUGGAAACUAACCUGGAAGUUUAAUGGAGCUUAUCCUACUUCUGGUUGUGAUGGAGUAGCUCACAGCAGACCAAGUCUCCUGUUGAAAACAUCUAGAAAACAUGAACCACAAAAUACACAUUUUUAUAAGACAUCAAAGAGCAGCCAAAAUAUUCAGGACUUGAAGGGUCAAGAUCCCAGAAGAAGAAAAACUCAUUAAGGAAUUAUGCUAGGUGUGGGAAAUACAAAAUUGAGUAACACAGGGCCUCUUUGAUCAGAAGACUCAUUGUCUGACUGGAAAAGAUAUGUUUAAAAAGAAGAUAUCUAUUAAAAAAAAGAAGAUCUAAGUGCUGUAACAGAGAUGAGGAAACACGCGCGCUGGAAGAUAAAGUAACCUCUCUAAAAUAGUUAUUCAAAAUAUAACAGCCUAAGCUAUUAGUCCUUUUGACGAACCACUUUGCUCAAAAGAACUAAUUCUUUCGGACAUUCUCAUUAUACUCGAUUCUUUCGAGAUCUUUCAUGUUGGUUACCCAGGCUUAAGAAUUUCCUGGUGUCCCCCAGAAGCAAUAGAUCAGGGAGAAGUCUUUUCCAACAUUGCUGAAACUAAUAAUAGCAUUUUCCAGCUCCGUUUGGAAGAACGGACACAGUCCCGGGGAUAGGAAGUUCUCAUUUUACCUUUGCAAUCAAUUCAACUUUAUCAAAAGCAUUCCAAAAACCGAUAACUAUGAACAAAUCAACAAAGAGAGAGUCUCUGUCAGCGUUCCGUGUUUGCCCUUUGGAACCAGGACGUGCAGAUGCGGAGGUCUCUUCAUUCAGGUUCAGAUGUACUUAAAUGUGUGACGGUGAAUCAAGCAUCUGGGAGGAUUUGCUCAGGGAACGAUCUUUGAACACCUACUACAUGCACGACAUUGAAGGGUCCAGGGAUGGCAGAGAAAGAGCAUGUGUCUUAGGUCAGACUGGAACUUGAGGGACUCCGGGAAGAGGCAUUUUCAGCCAAAAAUCUGAAAGCCAAGAUUCAAGAUUGCUCACUUCCAAGAAGCCCCAUGUGCCCAGACUCCUUGGGCUGAUGCUUUCCGUAAUGUGUGCUUGUGCCAUCUCUCGCCCAUUCUUUCACCGCGCCUUGCCU